rnacentral:lncRNA from 1 species
CUGGCUUUCAUAGUAUAUCUUAUGUGUUAGGCUCAGACCUACACAAAUUCCUUUGCACUGGGGUAAGUGGAAUUAUACUAUUAUUCUGUGACAUCACACCUGCAUUACCUAAGACAAAGACACAUGAACUAGAGGAAGAAGUAUUUGCUUCCAAAAAUUAAAAAUAAAGAGCUAGCCAUCUCCUUGAAUCUAAAAAGCACAAGAACAUUCACUGCUAUAAAAGUUAAUAGAAUUGGUUAAUUAAAGCAACAGAACAUCUUUUAAAGAAAAAUAGUGAGGAAGGGUUUUUGUGAAAACAAACUGUGACCAUAACCAGAGAGCAGGAACAGAGAACUUAGAGCAGGGAGGUAGCAUCUCUAUUUGAAACACUGACCUUUCUCCCAAGUUACAAAAGCAAAGGAAACCCAGAACUCUGGAUUAGUGUUCUUGAACGUCUCUCCUGUCACAUCUAGAGCUAAAGGUGCUGAUAGAGAGAGGCUAUCAUUGCAAGUAUUAUUUCUAAGACAGAGAAGAAUAGAGAACACACAUCUGUUCAUCAGCAUAGGCAGAGGAGCCCAAGUUCUAGAAGCAAUCCCAAGUUAAAAGAAAAUCAUGUGCUAGGAAGCUAUUUAUAUUGAGCUUUCUCAUGGCUUAAUAGUUUCCUUGACUUAUGCAAAUAUGCUGCGAUGAACAAUUAGAACCCAGUAAUCAGCUCCAUUAAAGUGUCAGCUCCAUUCAUCUCUUCAUGUGCAAGUUCUGGUAAGCUUUGAUAUACCAAUCAGAGAAAAAUGACUGUAGAGCA